CCUACGGGUGGCUGCAGUGGGGAAUAUUGGGCAAUGGGCGCAACUCUGACCCAGCAACGCCGCGUGAAGGAAGAAGGUCUUCGGGUUGUAAACUUCUUUUCUAAGGGACGAAGAAAUUGCCGGACCCUAGGAAAUAGGCCUCGGCUAACUCCUGGCCAGAAGCCGCGGUAAUACGUAGGGGGAAAGCGUUAUCCGGAUUGAUUGGGUGUAAGGGGGGCGUAGGGGGGUUGGCAAGUUGGUGGUGAAACUCCGGGGCUCAACCUUGGCCCUACUUCCAAAACUGUCGUCCUUGAGUGCAGGAGGGGCAAAUGGAAUUCCGAGUGUAGCGGUGGAAUGCGUAGAUAUAAGGAGGAACACCAGUGGCGAAGGCGAUUUGCUGGACUGUAACUGACGCUGAGGCACGAAAGCGUGGGGAGCAAACAGGAUUAGAUACCCCAGUAGUC
rnacentral:rRNA from 1 species